UACGUAGGGGGGCUAGCGUUGUCCGGAAUCAUUGGGCGUAAAAGAGCGUGUAGGCGGUCCGGUAAGUCCGCUGUGAAAGUCGGGGGGCUCAACCCUGGAAUGCCGGUGGAAACUGUCGGGCUGGAGUCCGGAAGAGGCGAGUGGAAUUCCUGGUGUAGGCGGUGAAAUGCGCAGAUAUCAGGAGGAACACCAAUGGCGAAGGCAGCUCACUGGGGACGGUAUUGACGCUGAGACGCGAAAGCGUGGGGAGCAAACAGG
rnacentral:rRNA from 1 species